UCUUCUUUGGAUCGUUCUUGCGGGGCUGGUGUUGCUGCUCGAGCGAGAUCGAUUGGUUUUGGACUUGGAUUGCUUGGCUUUGCUUCGAGUGAUCCACGCUUGAUAUCCUUUCAUGGUGGAAUGCAAAUCACUGAGGUACAGGCGUGGAUUACCGGCUCGUGCUUGCUGAGAGAGAAAGGAUGGGAUUGCUUGCCUGAUCAUUGCGGUUUGUGGGCUUCUCAAGAUUGUGGUUUUUUUUUUCUUUCUUUUUUUUUCUUUCACUUUCGCUGCUGUUGAUGGUUCUGGUGAUGUUGUCUCGAGGGAAGACGCUCGCUUGCGCUGGCUGGCUGUUUUGCUGCCUGCGCUGCUUUCAUUCACUCUCUCUUUCAAUGGGCUCGCCUUUGUUUGCUUGCUCCUUUUGCUUUUCUGAAUCUAUCUGUCUGCAUCCACCACUUGGUCCAUCCCUCGCUUUGGCAUUUUGCUUCCUUUGAUGUUUGCCUCUCCAACUGCAGGGCUGCUCGUUUCACUGAUCCCCACUCCAGCUUUCAUUCUCUCUUUUCAAUCGUCGCAUAGUUCUCGUCCUCCUUCGCUUUCCAUGGCGUUGUUGAGAGAAAAGCCAGUGUGGUCGUUUCCAAAUCGUCCUUGUGCACCCUCCCUGCAAAUUCCCGUCCGUGACAGAAUCCCAAAGCUCGAUUCUUUCCGCCCACAGUCAUGUCCUCUUCAUUUCGCUCAUUUACUGCAAUUCUUGGGGUUUGAAAGCACGCGUGCGUCGAGAAUUCGAUCCGAGCCGCGGAGGACUUGAGAAGCAACGUCAGCAAUCGGCGCUGGGAGAGACAAUGAAGGAAGAAUCUGUGCUGGAGGGGAGUCAUUCAAUUUGAGGGGCGAACUAUUCGGGCACAGGUACUUAAAUGAGAUCGAUUUUGGAAUUCCUCAGAGCUUACAACAAUGCAGGAUCUCUCCCACCAGAUUUCCCCUCCUGCUUGCUUUUGUUGUUUUGUUGGGGAGGAUUUAACCGCCCGCUCAACAGCUUAUACAUUUGACUUCACAGAGAGGAGCUCCUUUUCUUUCCUGUGAUCCUCGAUUUAAACAGUUUUCUAGCAGAGAUUGUCGUUUCCUCCAUAAUCAAUUAGUACAAGCAAAGCAAAGCCAAGCAAAGCAAAGCCAAGCAAAGCUUGUUUAUCAUUUCUCAACAUUCCAGCAGCCAUAUAUAUAUAUAUAUUUCAAGCAAGGUAGCUGAUAGUGAGAGCGGGGGGGAUGUUCAGAAGUGUUGCAAGUGACUCAGAUUGUAAGAGAGCGAGGAUCAGAAGAGGUUGAUAGAUAGAUGCUGUUUAUGGUUACUAAAGUGCCCUUUUGGGGCAUGGGGUUAGAAGAUUGGAAAUUACAUUACUGGAAAUAAUAAUAGGAAAUUCUUGGCUCCA